rnacentral:misc_RNA from 1 species
GAUGAAGAACGCAGCGAAAUGCGAUAAGUAAUGUGAAUUGCAGAAUUCAGUGAAUCAUCGAAUCUUUGAACGCACAUUGCGCCCGCCAGUAUUCUGGCGGGCAUGCCUAUUCGAGCGUCAUUUCAACCAUCAAGCCCCCGGCUUGUGUUGGGGACCUGCGGCUGCCGCAGGCCCUGAAAAGCAGUGGCGGGCUCGCUGUCACACCGAGCGUAGUAGCAUACAUCUCGCUCUGGGCGUGCUGCGGGUUCCGGCCGUUAAACCACCUUCAUAACCCAAGGUUGACCUCGGAUCAGGUAGGGAUACCCGCUGAACUUAAGCAUAUCAAUAAGCGGAGGA